GCAGGGCAGGAUGGAUAUAGGUCUGUAGCAGUUUGGGUCUAGAGGCAGGGCAGGAUGGAUAUAGGUCUGUAACAGUUUGGGUCUAGAGGCAGGGCAGGAUGGAUAUAGGUCUGUAACAGUUUGGGUCUAGAGGCAGGGCAGGAUGGAUAUAGGUCUGUAACAGUUUGGGUCUAGAGGCAGGGCAGGAUGGAUAUAGGUCUGUAACAGUUUGGGUCUAGAGGCAGGGCAGGAUGGAUAUAGGUCUGUAGCAGUUUGGGUCUAGAGGCAGGGCAGGAUGGAUAUAGUUCUGUAACAGUUUGGGUCUAGAGGCAGGGCAGGAUGGAUAUAGGUCUGUAACAGUUUGGGUCUAGAGGCAGGGCAGGAUGGAUAUAGGUCUGUAACAGUUUGGGUCUAGAGGCAGGGCAGGAUGGAUAUAGGUCUGUAACAGUUUGGGUCUAGAGGCAGUGCAGGAUGGAUAUAGGUCUGUAACAGUUUGGGUCUAGAGGCAGGGCAGGAUGGAUAUAGGUCUGUAACAGUUUGGGUCUAGAGGCAGGGCAGGAUGGAUAUAGGUCUG
ensembl:lncRNA